UACGUAGGGACCAAGCGUUGUUCGGAAUCACUGGGCGUAAAGGGCGUGUAGGCGGUCAGGUAAGUGAGAUGUGAAAUGCCCCGGCUCACCCGGGGACCGGCAUCUCAUACUGCUUGGCUUGAGUACGGGAGAGGAUGUGGGAAUUCCUGGUGUAGCGGUGAAAUGCGUAGAUAUCAGGAGGAACACCGGUGGCGAAGGCGCACAUCUGGCCCGAUACUGACGCUGAGGCGCGAAAGCUAGGGGAGCAAACGGG
rnacentral:rRNA from 1 species